UACGUAGGGUGCAAGCGUUAUCCGGAAUUAUUGGGCGUAAAGAGCUCGUAGGCGGUUUGUCGCGUCUGCUGUGAAAACUGGGGGCUCAACCCCCAGCCUGCAGUGGGUACGGGCAGACUAGAGUGCGGUAGGGGAGAUUGGAAUUCCUGGUGUAGCGGUGAAAUGCGCAGAUAUCAGGAGGAACACCGGUGGCGAAGGCGGAUCUCUGGGCCAUUACUGACGCUGAGGAGCGAAAGCGUGGGGAGCGAACAGG
rnacentral:rRNA from 1 species